UCUCCGUUGGUGAACCAGCGGAGGGAUCAUUACAGAGUUCCACAACUCCCAACCCCUGCGAACCGUACCCCGUUUUGUUCUCGUUGCUUCCUGGCGGGGGCCCCCCGUCGCCACCGCCCGGGCGCCCGCCAGCGGCGGCUAGCCCCCGGAACCUUUUUUUCUCCACCAUCCCGUCUCUGCAAACAAACAAGUGAUUCAAAACUUUCAACAACGAAUCUCUAGGUUCUCGCACCAAAAAAGAACGCAGCAUUUCGGCAUCGCACAAGACUGAACUCCAUU
rnacentral:misc_RNA from 1 species